CAGAUUUUACUUUUUAAAAUUUCACCCUAACCGCUAUCUUAUCUGCAGUCAAACAGGCAUAUAAGUAUUCCCAAUACGCUUACGCCAGUGUGACAAAUUUCGUAUACCCAAAAAAAGAACUUACAAGCGCGGGUGUUCUUAAAUUCCUCCUCUCCAAAGCAAUGCUUAUUCUGAGGUUCAGGUAGAACGUGUCGAGUAACAUUUCAUUUCAAUCGCUACAAAUUCGAUUCGACAUGAAUUGUUGCGGGUUCCUGUUCUGGCUUUUGAUCCUCAUCACACUGGCUUUUCCGAUUGCCGUGUUGUGCGCGAUAGUCUACAUUUUUUUGUAUGCCUUCUCGGGCAUUUGUCCUGGAUGCGAGGGCUGCGCGGAAACGUUCCUGAGAGGGGUGCAAUUGCCGGGCUACGCGAUGAGGAAGGUUGUCCAUUGCGAAUGCUAACUCAUGCUUUAACCUAAUUUAUACUAUUUUAUAUUUUUGUACAAAUAAAUAUCAAUGUUGUAUUUUA